rnacentral:lncRNA from 1 species
GUUUGUCGAUAUAAAAUAUCUUGACCAGGUUUUUGUCUGGCACGAUUAGGGGGAAAUUCUAAAGAUUUUGGCCAGGUUUAUCUCAACAGCUAGUUGUUAUGAUGAACGUGACGAGAAUACUGAUGAAAUAAAAAUCAGUUCGAGACUUGCUCGACCAAAUUCAAAAUGGCGAUGCCGAUGAAAACCAAGCACGCCUGUGCAGGAUUGCUGUGUUGUCAAGCCAAAGUUAAGUAUUUUGCUUCCCUGUUAAUCUCCGGCCCUUCUGCCAAUCGUUUGGUCAGAAAAAACAGUAAACAGUGAUAGAAUAUGGAAUGCCCAGCGUUAGCAAUUUGCAAAUUAAUUUCAAAGUCUCCAAGGAAAGGAUUAAAUGAAAUAAAAAACUUUCGUCUUUCACCACCAGCAGCGGUGGCCGAGUGGGUUAAGAGAGUGUUUAGUGUAUAGGCGGUGGUUCAAGCUCUUGCAGUGUCAAAUUCUUAUUUAAUUUCAAAGUCUCCAAAGAAAGGAUUAAAUGAAAUAAAAAACUUUCGUCUUUUAUCACCAGCAUGAGGCCAACUGGGUUAGGACAGUGGUCAGUCCAUAGGCGGUGGUACAAGCUCUUGCAGUGUCAAAAAAAUAAGUUGCCAAUUCUCAUUUAAUUUCAAAGUCUGGAUAAGGUGAUAAGUCUAAAAAAUUCUAAGUCUUUCACCACCAGCACUGAUAGCCGGUGGUAAAUCUCUUAGUAAAUCGCCCUUGGAAAUUUACUGGGAAGACUUUUCUAUCUCGUUCGUUGACACACAUCAGCGAGAUGAGGUCACAUCGACGGUCGGUAAAUUUCGACCUCAAACAGGACGAGACAACGAAUGCUGGCUCAAACCGACCACACAACCAAACUCAAACUAACCGGAACAUUCAAAUAUAUCUUUAGCCCGAGUGGACGACGUGAAAAUCUCGCUCGUCGGCGAGAGCUUGCCUGUGGAAUUCUCGACGGGUCCCACUAAACACUGCCCGAGAUGAUUGCCCGAGAUGAUUGCCCGAGAUGACUGCCUGAGAUGAUUUCCCGAGAUGACUGCCUGAGAUGACUGCCCGAGAUGACUGCCUGAGAUGAUUUCCCG